GAUGAACGCUAGCGGCAGGCCUAACACAUGCAAGUCGAGGGAGAAGCCCUUUCGGGGGCAGAAACCGGCGCACGGGUGCGUAACGCGUAUGCAACCUACCUUUCACAGGGGGAUAGCCCGAAGAAAUUUGGAUUAAUAUCCCAUAAUAUUAUUGGAUGGCAUCAUUUGAUAAUUAAAACUGCUGUGGUGAUAGAUGGGCAUGCUUCCUAUUAGCUAGUUGGAGUGGUAACGGCACCCCAAGGCUACGAUAGGUAGGGGUCCUGAGAGGGAGAUCCCCGACACUGGUACUGAGACAGGGACCAGACUCCUACGGGCGGCAGCAGUGAGGAAUAUUGGUCAAUGGUCGGAAGACUGACACAGCGAUGCCGCGAGCAGGAAGAAUGCCUUAUGGGUUGUAAACUGUUUUUAUAUGGGAAGAAAAAGGCGUACGUGUACGUUGAUGACGGUACCAUAUGAAUAAGCAUCGCCUAACUCCGU
rnacentral:rRNA from 1 species